AGGAUGAACGCUGGCGGCGUGCCUAAUACAUGCAAGUCGAGCGGCAGCGCGGUCUUCGGACUGGCGGCGAGCGGCGGACGGCUGAGUAACACGUAGGAACGUACCCCAAAGUGAGGGAUAAGCACCAGAAAUGGUGUCUAAUACCGCAUGUGCUCUAAGGAGUAAAGCUUCGGCGCUUUGGGAACGGCCUGCGCAUGAUUAGCUUGUUGGUGAGGUAAUGGCUCACCAAGGCGACGAUCAUUAGCUGGUCUGAGAGGAUGAUCAGCCAGACUGGGACUGAGAACGGCCCAGACUCCUACGGGAGGCAGCAGUAGGGAAUUUUCCACAAUGGGCGAAAGCCUGAUGGAGCAACGCCGCGUGCAGGAUGAAGGCUUUCGGGUCGUAAACUGCUUUUAUAUGUGAAGAAUAUGACGGUAGCAUAUAGAAGUAAGGAUCGGCUAACUCCGUGCCAGCAGCCGCGGUAA
rnacentral:rRNA from 1 species